GGAAGACGUCGGACUGAUCAGGA
rnacentral:piRNA from 1 species